GUUUAAUUAUUUAUUUUUUGUGGGAUAAUCGUAGCGAAGCGAUCUACUUCCGGUUUGACUGACUCCCCCGGAGACGCUCGUCGGCCGAACUUCCGGUCGGUGCUCGUCGCUCCGCAACGCCGUUAACGUCCGUAGCGGGAACCCGUUAAAACGCCGUAAGCACCGGGUAAAUAACGCGGGCUGACGACGCGGUUGUCCCACUACACCUGCGGCGCCGGCAACCGGCAACUAAACACCUCGAAGCAACAACAAAAACAACAACAAAAGCGAGGACAGUGAACGCCUCGCGAGGCCACUUCACUUGCAGUCCGUGCUUUCGGCUUCGGGACCUCGCAUGAAGACGCCGCUUCGCCGGCUUCAGAACCUGGACUGGACCCCUCAUCGGCCGGUUCCCCCCUCAGUGGGCCCGGUGGAUCCGUCAGAGCAGGACCAGGAGAACCGCCGAGAAGCUGAUAAGUGGACUUCUAGUCGGGGAAUAAAGAACAAUAAAUACCUUUUAAUCUUAAA